rnacentral:rRNA from 1 species
CCUACGGGAGGCAGCAGUGGGGAAUAUUGGACAAUGGGCGAAAGCCUGAUCCAGCAAUGCCGCGUGAGUGAUGAAGGCCUUAGGGUUGUAAAGCUCUUUUACCAGGGAUGAUAAUGACAGUACCUGGAGAAUAAGCUCCGGCUAACUCCGUGCCAGCAGCCGCGGUAAUACGGAGGGAGCUAGCGUUGUUCGGAAUUACUGGGCGUAAAGCGUACGUAGGCGGUUAUUCAAGUCAGAGGUGAAAGCCUGGAGCUCAACUCCAGAACUGCCUUUGAAACUAGAUAGCUAGAAUCACGGAGAGGUUAGUGGAAUUCCGAGUGUAGAGGUGAAAUUCGUAGAUAUUCGGAAGAACACCAGUGGCGAAGGCGACUAACUGGACGUGUAUUGACGCUGAGGUACGAAAGCGUGGGGAGCAAACAGGAUUAGAUACCCUGGUAGUCCACGCCGUAAACGAUGAUAACUAGCUGUUCGGUCUCUACGAGACUGAGUGGCGCAGCUACGACAUUAAGUUAUCCGUCCGUCGGGUAGGUACGGUCGCGAAGAAUUAAACUAACAAGAAGUUAGACGGCGUGAGACGUGCCGAACGGACGACGACGAGGGAGGUAGG